rnacentral:rRNA from 1 species
GAGUUUGAUCCUGGCUUAGGAUGAACGCUGGCGGCGUGCCUAAUACAUGCAAGUCGUACGAGGUUAAUCCAGCUUGCUGGAGAGACCUAGUGGCGAACGGGUGAGUAAUACGUAAGUAACCUGCCUGCAAGGACUGGGAUAACACCUGGAAACGGGCGCUAAUACCGGAUAGGUAACAGAGGGGCAUCCCACUGUUAUUAAAGGUUAAAGACACAAGCAGAUGGGCUUACGGUGCAUUAGCUGGUUGGUGAGGUAACGGCCCACCAAGGCGAUGAUGCAUAGCCGGCCUGAGAGGGUGAACGGCCACAUUGGGACUGAGACACGGCCCAGACUCCUACGGGAGGCAGCAGUAGGGAAUUUUCGGCAAUGGGCGCAAGCCUGACCGAGCAACGCCGCGUGAAGUGAAGAAGAAUUUCGGUUCGUAAAGCUCUGUUGUAAGGGAAGAAUAACACGGAGAGAAUCCGUGCAUGACGGUGCCUUACCAGAAAGCCACGGCUAACUACGUGCCAGCAGCCGC